AGUCUCCUGUUCAGCUGGCUCUGCAUGAAUUAAACUUUUUCUCUAUUGCAGGACCCCUGUCUCGAUAAAUUGGCUCUAUCUGGGCUACAGGCAAGGAGAACCUGUUGAACAGUUACAACCGGAGGAGAGCCAAGGCUACUCAUGAGCACAGUCAUACAUCCAUGCUAACAACAGAUGAAUCUGUUACUGUAUUUGUUCUUAUCAAGAGGAGCAAGCAAGAGAACUGAAAAUAACAAGAUAUAUUUGAGAGACGAGCUAGAAAAAGAAAGCAGGGUCACCACCUCCGUCAGACCUUUCCGGGACAGACUCGAGCCGGCAGAGCAGCCGCUCGCCCCAGAGCCGUGGUGUCUUCCUGGUGUGUGGGUGCCACCGCGUGGCAAAACAGGGCAACUGUAGGAAUCGACUUUACAUCUCUUUGGAGCUCAUCGGUGCCUUUCUUUUAGGUGACAACAAUUUCCAGCAGGUUUUUCCUUUCUUUUCUUCAAGUAGGGUAACAAUUCACAUCUGCUCAAAAUAAUUUAUGUUCCUAUUCUAACAGACUCAUAUGGCAGGAACAAGAAGUGCACAUGCCAAAAGAAAGGCAGAGGGCUGCGGGAGCAAGAUGGGUUGCAAGGGGCAUGAUGACUAAUGCAAUCCUGGCACCUCUUCUUCCAGCAUUAUAAGGACAUAUAGAAUAAUUGUGCAUGAGUUAUUGUGACAGUAGCACCUUUCAAAAAUAUAUAGCAUUGUGGAAACAGAACCCUCCGGAU
rnacentral:lncRNA from 1 species